GCUGCGGGGGGGCGGUGGGGAGAAGAAAGCACCGGCUAAGACAUGUUGAAAAUGGCAAACAACCCCAACAGCUGUGUCAACAUGGUGAGAAGAGACGUAACCAGGAGGAGACUGAGAUGCUUUUAAAUGUAACUUUUAGACGGCUGAGCCCGCAGUCGCACAAACAUCAGACUGCCGGGACUACCUGCUGAUGACCUCAGAGGCGCUGAAAGUAAACAAGUACAAGAGUUGGAGGAAAU